rnacentral:miRNA from 1 species
UGUGGGAGGGGACUGUAGAGAGG